rnacentral:rRNA from 1 species
AUGAACGCUAGCUACAGGCUUCACCCAUGCAAGUCGAGGGGAAACGGCAUUGAGUGCUUGCACUCUUUGGACGUCGACCGGCGCACGGGUGAGUAACGCGUAUCCAACCUUCCCAUUACUGUGGGAUAACCUGCCGAAAGGCAGACUAAUACCGCAUAGUCUUCGAUGACGGCAUCAGAUUUGAAGUAAAGAUUUAUCGGUAAUGGAUGGGGAUGCGUCUGAUUAGCUUGUUGGCGGGGUAACGGCCCACCAAGGCUACGAUCAGUAGGGGUUCUGAGAGGAAGGUCCCCCACAUUGGAACUGAGACACGGUCCAAACUCCUACGGGAGGCAGCAGUGAGGAAUAUUGGUCAAUGGACGGAAGUCUGAACCAGCCAAGUAGCGUGCAGGAUGACGGCCCUAUGGGUUGUAAACUGCUUUUGUAUGGGGAUAAAGUUAGGGACGUGUCCCUAUUUGCAGGUACCAUACGAAUAAGGACCGGCUAAUUCCGUG